CACUGAGAUAAAUCCCCAGCCCACAUAUGCAUUUUUGAAUAAAUCAUGGUACCAUUUAUUUGACUCUCUUUAGAAUGAUAAAUCUUGGCCUUGGAGGUAAGGUCAUUUCUUCAAACUGAUAUUUGUUAAUUGCUGGGUAGCAUAAUGGCCCGGGCCACGCCCAUGGCACGGUGAGGUCUCAGAGGUGUCUUGCAGCCCCACCCCCACCUGACGCUCUCAAAGCUGCAGCGACCGGCUCCGUUGAGACAAGACAAGCAGCUUGGGGUUCCUGCGGCCGUCCCGGGCCAUGCCCACGGCACGGUCCCACUCCAGGAUGAAAAGGAGUCAAGCCUGACUCUGGAUACUCAAGCUUGCUUAGAGCUUUUGAAGAUGGAUGUAAGGGAGUCCAUGGUCAACCAUCUUGUGCGAUCCUUGCUUCAAGGGAACUGUUUGUUCCUGCACAAGUUUUUGCAAAACUACCAAGAUUUGGGACCAUGCAGCAGGAGCUGGAUCUGCUGUUGAAAAGCCCAGGCAGCAGCACCAGUGCCAGGUCCAACUGGAGAGCGAGAGGCAGCUCCAGCAGCAGCCUCUAAGCCAGCGGUAGAUCCACCACCCAUUCUGGGGCAAGAGUUGGCUGCAGUGCCAGCUCCAUGGCCAGGUGCACCUAGAAAGCUACCUUGGGUUAUUCCAAAGAAGAAGCAGACUGGAACUGAGACUCUGGAGCUGGAGCCAGCCACAGCAGGCCCACUUCUACCAGUGGUGCCAUCCUGGCCUUCACCUAUGACCAUGAAAACCAGGGAUUCCACCUGGUUGCAGCAGGGCAAAAAGGCCAAGGAGCAGCUGCCGGCCUCCAUCUGCACCACUGUCAUUCAUCUCCCAAGUGUGUCAUCAGCACCGUCCUCAGGCACUACAUCAUGAAAGCCUCAGGCCAUGCCCAGGUGGUGGAGCACAGGGUCUCCAGGGACCCUCAGGAGUGCCAAAUUCUGAGGAACCGUGCCUCUCUCUCUGGGCUGUGAAUCAGCGUUAUCCAGUGCCUGAUGGAAACCUGGCAAGACUUCUCCAGGUGGCUGCACCUCUCCAUUGGAGCUCCAGGUGAACCAGCACCAUAAACUGGACAAAAUAUGUGCAGAACUUGUCUGUGAAGGUAGAAAUGUCUAGAAUGUAUUUUAUAAAGUUCCCCCAAACUCAAAAUAAAAAAAUCUUAUUUGAAAAGAGCCGAAAGAAAUGAAAGGCAGUUUACGAAAUAGGCAAAUAAAAAUAUGUUGGGCCUGAGUGUAGUGGAGGAGGCCUGUCAAUCAGAUAACUCUGGAGAGAGACUGAGGCAGGAGAAUCACAAGUCCCAGUGCAGUCUGGCAACUUAGUGACCCUGUGAAACCCUUAGCAAAAAGAGAUGAUAUUCACCAUAAUUAGCCAUUAAAGAAAUACAAUUUAAAACCAUGAUGUUAUAUCACCAAAACCUGCUCGAAUUGCUAACAUGAAAAAUCCCAGUUACCUAAUGCAAGAGUGGAUGACAAGAAUUCAGGCCUGUCAUAUACUGCUGGUGAAGAAGUCCAUUUCCUGGUUUUAAUAUCACCCUAUUAUUUUUGGAGAUGGCCAACAUUGGGUGAAGCUGGGUAAGGAGUGCAUGGAACAUCUCAUUCCUCAAGUACCUGUGAGUCCAUAAUAAUUUCAACACAAAAUGAUUUUGAAAAAGCAGUAAUAACAUCCAACUUAUAGAA
rnacentral:lncRNA from 1 species